rnacentral:piRNA from 1 species
UACCUCCAACAAGUUCCACAGUGCCAGAUAGC